UGCAGAAAAUGCCGGGGGGGGGAAAGACCCCGAGAGGGGGGGGGGGGGCAAAUACCCCUGGGGGGAGCAAAUGUCCAUUAGUGUCUGAGCUGCCUCCCCCGGCUCUGCCCAGGGAGAGUUGGGCAGGGUCAAAGGUCACUGGGGGCUCCUGGGGUCAAAGGUCACCCCAGGUCAAGGCCAGAGGUCAAAGGGGUCUGCCCCUGGGGGGGGGUCAGGGGUCACCAGGAGGUCACAGAGGGGUCGGGGUGGGGUCAUUGUUGGCCAAGGUCAAAGGUGACGGCAGGUCAGAGGUCACCGCUGGGCAGCUCCGGGGUCACAGGUCACCAUGGGGUCAACACCAGGUCGUAGAUCGAAGAGGUCAACCCUGGGGUCGUAGGUUGCCAUGGGGUCAAUCCCGUGGUCGUAGGUCGCCAUGGGGUUAACCCUGGGGUCAUAGGUUGAAGAGGUCAACCCUGGGGUCGUAGGUUACCAUGGGGUCAACCCCGGGGUCGUAGGUUGAAGAGGUCAACCCUGGGGUCGUAGGUUGCCAUGGGGUCAACCCUAGGGCCCUGGAGGUCAACCCUGGGGUCGUAGGUCGCCAUGGGGUCAACCCCAGGGUUGUAGGUCACCAUGGGGUCAACCCCGGGGUCGUAGGUUGAAGAGGUCAACCCUGGGGUCGUAGGUCGUCAUUGGGUCAACACCCGGCCGUAGAUCGACGAGGUCAACCCCAGGGUCAUAGGUCACCAUGGGGUCAACCCUAGGGCCCUGGAGGUCAACCCUGGGGUCGUAGGUCGCCAUGGGGUCAACCCCAGGGUUGUAGGUCACCAUGGGGUCAACCCCGGGGUCGUAGGUUGAAGAGGUCAACCCUGGGGUCGUAGGUUGCCAUGGGGUCAACCCUAGGGCCCUGGAGGUUAACCCUGGGGUCGUAGGUUGCCAUGGGUCAGCUCUGGGGUCGCAAAGGUCAACCCUGGAGUCAUAGGUCACCACCACGAGGUCAACACCAAGCCAUAGAUCAAAGAGGACAACCCUGGGGUCAUAGGUCACCACAGGGCCGUGGAGGUCGACCCCGGGGUGGUAGGUCAGGGCGAGGGACGGGAGGUCGGGGGUCAGGGGUCGGAGGUCGGGGGUCAAUCCCGGCGCAGGUUCUUCAGCCGUUCCUCCAGGUCGGCGUCGGCGUCGGCCAAAGCAGCCGCGGCCUCAGCCGCCCGCCCCUCCCCCGACCCCCCCGGGGGGGGCAGGGCUGGGAGGGAAAAGGUCAAAGGUCAAGGGGAGGUGGGGGGGCAUCCUCCAUUCCCCCCCCUCCCCCCAAAAUACCCCCCCCAGGA
rnacentral:lncRNA from 1 species